AUUCUAUUUUAUUCAAUUAUGUUAUAUUUCUUCACAGAAAGCAAGUUAUCUCCAAAGCAGAUGUCGCAGCCAUGCCACUUGAUUCUCUAAGUUCCUUUGAUGGCAAAUCAUGACAGUGGCAGGCUCCCCAAUUUGUUCACUGACAUUUCAUCAUAUAUUAUAAAGUUGAAAUUUUUUCAUUUUUGAGACCACCACACACUGGUAGACAAAACAAAUUUGUAUGCUGACACCUAGCAGCAGCGCACUAGGAGUGCAUUUGACAUUCAAUAAUGACACACGAAAUUCACCUUCAACAAGCGUUACAAAUGUAACACCUAAGAUGGAAAAAGCACACCCUCACACAGCUAAUAUCAUCACUUGGCGACAAAAUACCAGC
rnacentral:lncRNA from 1 species